CCCUUAGAUGGUCUGGGCGGCACGCGCGCUACAAUGAUGCAUUCAAAAAGUCUUCUGACCUUAGAAGGUUUGGUAUUCUCCAAAGUGCAUCGUGAUGGGAAUAGUUUAUUGCAAUUUUUAAUCUUGAACGAGGAAUUCCUAGUAAGUACAGGUCAUCAACUUGUGUUGAUUACGUCCCUGCCCUUUGUACACACCGCCCGUCGCUCCUACUGAUUGAGUGUCUCAAUGAAUUCUUUGAUCUUCUGUCGAUUCAGUUCACUGAUCCGACGGUGGAAAGUUGAAUGAUCUUCGUCACUUAGAGGAAGGAGAAGUCGUAACA
rnacentral:rRNA from 1 species